rnacentral:rRNA from 1 species
UACAGAGGUGGCAAGCGUUGUUCGGAAUUACUGGGCGUAAAGGGUGCGUAGGUGGUGAGGUAAGUCGGAUGUGAAAGCUCGGAGCUCAACUCCGAAAUGGCAUUGGAAACUACCUUGCUCGAGGGUUGGAGGGGGGACUGGAAUGCUUGGUGUAGCAGUGAAAUGCGUAGAUAUCAAGCGGAACACCAGUGGCGAAGGCGAGUCCCUGGACAACUCCUGACACUGAGGCACGAAAGCUAGGGGAGCAAACAGG